UAAAACUCUAGCACAAAAGAUGAUUUGUGUUGGGGUUUAGACUUUAAAUUUUAAGGUUACAAUUUACUUUUAAUUCGGCAGUUGAUUUUUAUAAAUAUAAACUAUUAACAGCACCUGGUUUUGCUUAAUGAAUUAUUUAGAUCUGUGUUUUCUUUUGCUAGCUAAAUGUAACACACCCAUUCCCCUGUUUUUUUAUUUUAAAACCCCUUUAGCCGAGUCGCGUCUUCUUGUUUAGCGAGUUAUAGCUGAGUCAAAGGUGUUUCGUUUCAUCUGCUUUUGUCGAGUUUACUUUUUGUGUUAAGUUCGAGUUUAGCAGUUCGUUUUAGUCGAGUUUCAAGUUUUGUCCAGUUCGUUUGUUUUGUAAACAAAACACACUUUCCCCUGCUUUCAUUUCAAAAACCAGUCAACUCUGUUUUCGUUUAAGAACCCCGGUUUCGUUUUUUUUCAUUUUCAAUUUGAAACCCCACAAGACUUUUCUUCUUGUUUCGUUCUCCGGCCGAGUCGUUGGUUCCUUGUAGUUUAAAACGAGUUAAUGAGCCUAGUAGCGAGUCUAAGUAGCAGGUCUGUGUCGAGUUUGUGUUACUGAGUUCCUUUGUACUGGGUUCGAGUCCGUGGCUCUGUUUCUCUCGUUUUUUUUGCUGCGUUUUAGUGUUUGAGUCUUCGAGUUUUAUCUGUUUUGUGUGUCGAGUUUAGUCCGAGUUCUGUUUUCGUGUUUAGAUGUUCAUCGAUUAGUUGCUGCUGCGUUUUCUUUCGAGUUACAGAGUCGUUUUCUUUGCUGAGUCCCGAGUCUUGUACUGAGUCUUCGAGUAUGUGUUUUGCUUGGCGUUGAGUCCUGUAGUCGAUUUUGUUGUAGCUGAGUUGGGUUGUUCUGUAGAGUUCCGAGUCUGCCAUUGCUGAGUCGUAGUUGUAGUUUCCGAGUCGCUGGCAGAGUUUGUUUUCGUCGAUAAACAGUAGUGAGUUUGGAGUCCUGCAGUUGAGUCGCUGGUUUUGCUGGUCCAAUAGGUUCUGUUUUGAUGAAUAGUUGAUGGGUUUUGUUUCAUUAGUUUUCGGUUGAUUAGUUUGUUGUUUUCUGAGUUAAUUUUGGUUAAGUGAGGCCACUGUUCUGAGGUUGUGUUUGUUUUUGUUGAUUUGCUUUUUUUUUU
rnacentral:lncRNA from 1 species